rnacentral:rRNA from 1 species
UACGGAGGGGGCUAGCGUUGUUCGGAAUUACUGGGCGUAAAGCGCGCGUAGGCGGCUUUGUAAGUCAGAGGUGAAAGCCCGGAGCUUAACUUCGGAAUUGCCUUUGAGACUGCAUCGCUUGAAUCCGGGAGAGGUGAGUGGAAUUCCGAGUGUAGAGGUGAAAUUCGUAGAUAUUCGGAAGAACACCAGUGGCGAAGGCGGCUCACUGGACCGGUAUUGACGCUGAGGUGCGAAAGCGUGGGGAGCAAACAGG